rnacentral:rRNA from 1 species
CCCUUAGAUGUCCUGGGCUGCACGCGCGCUACACUGAAAGUUACGGAUUGACUUUUUGCCUUGUCCGAAAUGGUCCGGGUAAUCACCUAAAAGCUUGUCAUAAUUGGAAUGGAUUAUUGUAACUAGUAAUCCUGAACGAGGAAUUCCUAGUAAGUCCCAGUCAACAGCUGGUACUGAUUACGUCCCUGCCCUUUGUACACACCGCCCGUCGCUACUACUGAUUGGACGUUUAAGCAAGAUUUUUAAACACUGACAGUGUGUAGUUCACGCUAUACUACAGUGAGAAGAAGAAGAUCGAGCUUACUUGUCUAGAGGAAGUAAAAGUCGUAACA